GUAGGUGGCAAGCGUUGUCCGGAAUUAGUGGGCGUAAAGCGCGCGCAGGCGGUUCUUUAAGUCUGAUGUGAAAGCCCACGGGUUCAACCGUGGAGGGUCAUUGGAAACUGGAGAACUUGAGUACAGAAGAGGAAAGCGGAAUUCCACGUGUAGCGGUGAAACGCGUAGAGAUGUGGAGGAACACCAGUGGCGAAGGCGGCUUUCUGGUCUGUAACUGACGCUGAGGCGCGAAAGCGUGGGGAGCAAACAGGAUUAGAUACCCUGGUAGUCCACGCCGUAAACGAUGAGUGCUAAGUGUUAGGGGGUUUCCGCCCCUUAGUGCUGCAGCUAACGCAUUAAGCACUCCGCCUGGGGAGUACGGCCGCAAAGGCUGA
rnacentral:rRNA from 1 species